GAUCUUAAUUUGCACACUAUCAUACAAGCGGAAAUGGACAAAGGUGUAAUUUGAACUCUGACCUGUUGGAAUUCUGAAGACCAUGUCUUUUCUAUGAAGCAAUGUCAUUCUCCUUCAGCCAGUCAGUACAGUCGCUCAGUUGUGUCCAUUUCUUUUCAACCCCAUGGACUGCAGCACACCAGGCUUCCCUGUCCAUCACCACCUUCCAGAGAUUGUCAUUCUCCUUGCACCAAACAAAAUGCAUGGAAGAAGAGAGGCAGAAACUGACAUACCUCUGGGUUAAGUGACAGGUUUCAAGGCCUGGCAGCUGGGGCUUAGAUCCUUCUUCAUCUAUCCAGCUCCAAGGAAGAAUGAAGUCACCUUGAUAACUUAACCACCUUUGCCCAGAAGUGAUACACAUCACUUUUGCUUCCAUUUCAUUGAUGACAGUUAGUCAUAUGGCCCAACUAGAUACAGCAGGGUCUGAGCAAUGGAGUUCCUGGCUGGGCAGUUGCUUUGCAUGAAACAUGAACAUGAAUUUUGAUGGACAGUUCACUGCUUCUACCAUGGGCAGCAUAAACACAUGAGCAAUUCAACUAAUUCAGUAUUUCUACCAGAGAUUAUGAUUUUAAUGAUCUGAAGUGUGAUCCUGGCAUCAAUAUUUUAAAAAUUUCCAGAUAAUUUAUUUCUCAGUUUGAAUUAAAAAACAUAGGAGUAGUCAUUAAUUUUUAAAGAAGAAAUUUA